rnacentral:rRNA from 1 species
UACGAAGGGGGCUAGCGUUGCUCGGAAUCACUGGGCGUAAAGGGUGCGUAGGCGGGUCUUUAAGUCAGGGGUGAAAUCCUGGAGCUCAACUCCAGAACUGCCCUUGAUACUGAGGAUCUAGAGUUCGGGAGAGGAGAGUGGAAUUCCCAGUGUAGAGGUGAAAUUCGUAGAUAUUGGGAAGAACACCGGUGGCGAAGGCGGCUCUCUGGACCGAUACUGACGCUGAGGCGCGAAAGCGUGGGGAGCAAACAGG